rnacentral:rRNA from 1 species
GAUGAACGCUGGCGGCGUGCCUAAUACAUGCAAGUCGAGCGAAUGGACUAAGAGCUUGCUCUUAUGAAGUUAGCGGCGGACGGGUGAGUAACACGUGGGUAACCUGCCCAUAAGACUGGGAUAACUCCGGGAAACCGGGGCUAAUACCGGAUAACAUUUUGAACCGCAUGGUUCGAGAUUGAAAGGCGGCUUCGGCUGUCACUUAUGGAUGGACCCGCGUCGCAUUAGCUAGUUGGUGAGGUAACGGCUCACCAAGGCAACGAUGCGUAGCCGACCGGGGAGGGUGAUCGGCCACACUGGGACUGAGACACGGCCCAGACUCCUACGGGAGGCAGCAGUAGGGAAUCUUCCGCAAUGGACGAAAGUCUGACGGAGCAACGCCGCGUGAGUGAGGAAGGCUUUCGGGUCGUAAAACUCUGUUGUUAGGGAAGAACAAGUGCUAGUUGAAUAAGCUGACACCUUGACGGUACCUAACCAGAAAGCCACGGCUAACUACGUGCCAGCCGCCGCGGUAA